AUUAAUUUUAAAAAAAAACCCAAGCCUUCAUUCUCUUCCUCGUGCUUGCAGCGCCGCCGUGCUCCUGACCCGAUGACAACCGCUGCUCGCGGACAACCGACGCCUCCCCUCCACCUCUUCCUCUUCCUCCUCCUCCUCCGCUUCCAGUGACCUCGAGCGCGUCUUCAACAAGAUCAACUCACGAUGACAAGAUCCGAGGAGGAGUUCCGCCGGAUGAUGGUAGAGGCCGAUUCUGACGAGGACGGUUUCAUCUCCCUGGAGGAGUUCGCGGAGAUCAACGCUCAGACGCACGAUUUCAUCUUCCUCGUGCUCACGGCCCCAUCGUGCUCCCGACCCGGCGUCGAUCAAUGAGAGACGUCCGCAUCUCUCCUUCACCAGACGCACUACGACAUUGUUCCAUCGUGAGAAUGACCGGCGAUGCUCCCCCGUCGACGCGACAAAGCCAACGCCAGUGAUGCCCCUCCGUCGUUUCCCAGCAAAUACUAGCACCUCCGCCACUGUUGCGGUUGGAAGUUGCGACCAAUCACAACCUCCGAUUCUGCAACUUCUUGAGCGCACUCGCACAUCCUACUAUUGCUGUCGACCGGCUCAACCUCACCAUCCCGAGCCCAGCACCCCUAUAGGCGAUGACGUGUAGCCACCUUCACUUUCCCUCUACCAGCCGCUGCAAGUAGAAGGGAAAGUUAGGAUUUGAGCUCGAGGCAGACUCUUUGACUAGAAGACAGUUAGACGUUAUACGGUUGAGAUAAAGGUAAAGAAUGGAUAAACUAGAGGAGCAGCAGGAAGGGGCAAGAGAUG